UCCCUUGUGGCUUAGAAGGUAAAGAAUCUGCCUGCAGUGCGGGAGACCCAGGUUCAAAUCCUGAGUCGGGAA
rnacentral:tRNA from 1 species